rnacentral:rRNA from 1 species
AUUGAAAGCUGGCGGCAGGCCUAACACAUGCAAGUCGAGCGGAGCGGCGGACGGGUGAGUAAUGCCUAGGAAUCUGCCUGGUAGUGGGGGAUAACGUCCGGAAACGGGCGCUAAUCUCGCAUACUAUCAGAUGAGCCUAGGUCGUAUUAGCUAGUUGGUGGGGUAACGGCCUACCAAGGCGACGAUCCGUCACUGGUAUGAGAGGAUGAUCAGUCACACGGGAAUUGAGACACGGACCAGACUCGUACGGUAGGCAUGAGUGGGGAAUAUUGGACAAUGGGCGGAAGCCGGAUCCAGCCAUGCCGCGUGUGUGAUGAAGGUCUUCGGAUUGUAAAGAACUUUAAGUUGGGAGGCGUUACCAACAGAAUAAGCACGGGGUAACUUCGUGCCAGCAGCCGCGGUAAUAC